rnacentral:rRNA from 1 species
CCCUUAGAUGUCCUGGGCUGCACGCGCGCUACACUGAUGUGUCCAGUAAGCACCUAACCUCUUCCGAAAGGAACGGGUAACCUUUGCAAAGCACAUCGUGAUGGGGAUAGAUUAUUGCAAUUAUUAGUCUUGAACGAGGAAUUCCUAGUAAGCACAAGUCAUCAGCUUGUGUUGAUUACGUCCCUGCCCUUUGUACACACCGCCCGUCGCUCCUACCGAUUGAAUGUUCCGGUGAGCUCUUCGGACUGCGCGGUCUGCAGUUUCUGCGUUCCGUGCGCAAAGUUGCGCAAACCUUAACAUUUAGAGGAAGGAGAAGUCGUAACA